AGGUCAGAUGAUUGACAGGUGUCUCCUCCAACAGGGAGCCCAGGAAGGUGGUCCUUCACAGAGGAGCGACCGGGCUGGGCUUCAACAUCGUGGGGGGGGAGGACGGAGAGGGCAUCUUCAUCUCCUUCAUCCUCGCUGGAGGACCAGCUGACCUCUGUGGAGAGCUGAGGAAAGGAGAUAGACUGGUGUCUGUGAACGGGGUGGAUCUCAGGAAUGCGACCCAUGAGCAAGCGGCCGCCGCCCUGAAGAACGCCGGGCAGACGGUGACCAUCAUCGCCACCUACAGGCCGGAGGAGUACAGCAGGUUUGAGGCUAAGAUCCACGACCUGAGGGAGCAGAUGAUGAACAGCAGCAUCAGUUCAGGGUCUGGAUCUCUGAGGACCAAUCAGAAGAGGUCGCUGUACGUCAGAGUGCUGUUCGACUACGAUAAGACCUUUAACUACCAGUGCUUGACCCACUAAUACUUUACAUCAGGGGCGGACUGGGACUAGAAAUCAGCCCGGGCAUCUCGACCGACCCA